rnacentral:rRNA from 1 species
UUAAAUGGCCGCGGUAUAUUGACCGUGCUAAGGUAGCAUAAUCAUUAGUUUCUUAAUUAGAAGCUGGAAUGAAGGGUUGGAUGAAAAAAUUACUGUCUUAUAUUUAGUUAAUUAGAAUUUUAUUUUUAAGUUAAAAAGCUUAAAUAACUUUAAAAGACGAGAAGACCCUAUAGAGUUUAAUAAUUCUUUAUUAUAGUUAAUUAAGAAUUAAAAUUUUUUAUGGUAAAGAAUUAUUUAAUUGGGGUGAUUAAAAAAUUAAGAUAACUUUUUUUUUAUUAUAAUAUUUAUUUAUAAAUUGUAUGAUCCUAUUUUUUAGAUUAUAAGAAAAAAUUACCUUAGGGAUAACAGCGUAAUUUUAUUAGAGAGUU